UUGGUUAAAGUGCAUGAUCGCGUGUCAGGCGACUUAAGUGCAUUUUAGUCAGGUUAAUUUGGGCGGUUCCGCCACAGUGGAGUGAAAAUUCCAAACUAUAAGAGUGACUUCAUUAGAUCUCUUCCCAAAAUUCCUAGAUUAAUUUGAAUUAAAUUGAAACCUAGGAUUGAAUAAUUGUUAGUGUGCCAUUCGGAUUUUAUUUGGUCUUUAUUUGGAAUUUAAAUGAGUGAAUU
rnacentral:lncRNA from 1 species